AGUUAUGGCGGCUGGGCGUGGGACGCCUUCGGGUGUGCCGGAUGAUGAUUGCGUAAGAGCUAAAGCCCGGUCUACUAACCCGCGUCCAGUCGCCUCCCUU
rnacentral:antisense_RNA from 1 species